ACAUUUCUUUUAGUUUAUCUUAUAAGUAUGGCCUGCCCACUGUGUAUAAAUAAAGGGCCGCGGUAUAUUGACCGUGCAAAGGUAGCAUAAUCAUUAGUCUCUUAAUUAGAGAAUGGAAUGAAUGGCUAAACAAUUUAUUAUUAUUAGGAUUUUAAUUAGGUAAUUUUGAUUAUAAGUGAAAAUACUUAAUUUUUUCAAAGGGACGAUAAGACCCUAUAGAAUUUGAUUAUUACAUUUGUGGUUAACUAUAGUAAUAUUUUAUCUGGGGCAGAUAAAGAAUAAAUUUAAUUUCUUUAGUAUAAUUUUAUAAAAAAAGGGAUAUAAUUUAAUUUUUUAAUAUUUUAAAAAAAUUACCUUAGGGAUAACAGCGUAAUUAUUUUUAAGAGUUCUUAUCAACAAGAUAGUUUGCGACCUCGAUGUUGAAUUAAAAUUUCUUUAUGGGGCAGUUUUUAUUUAAAGAUAGUCUGUUCGACUAUUAAAUUUUUACAUGAUUUGAGC
rnacentral:rRNA from 1 species